AGCCAGUGUGGUGUAGUGGUUUGAGUAUUGGAUUAUAACUCUGAAAACCAGGGUUCAAAUCCCAGCUUGGCUA